AUUGAACGCUGGCGGCAGGCCUAACACAUGCAAGUCGAGCGGCAGCGGAAAGUAGCUUGCUACUUUGCCGGCGAGCGGCGGACGGGUGAGUAAUGUCUGGGAAACUGCCUGAUGGAGGGGGAUAACUACUGGAAACGGUAGCUAAUACCGCAUAACGUCGCAAGACCAAAGAGGGGGACCUUCGGGCCUCUUGCCAUCAGAUGUGCCCAGAUGGGAUUAGCUAGUAGGUGGGGUAACGGCUCACCUAGGCGACGAUCCCUAGCUGGUCUGAGAGGAUGACCAGCCACACUGGAACUGAGACACGGUCCAGACUCCUACGGGAGGCAGCAGUGGGGAAUAUUGCACAAUGGGCGCAAGCCUGAUGCAGCCAUGCCGCGUGUAUGAAGAAGGCCUUCGGGUUGUAAAGUACUUUCAGCGGGGAGGAAGGCGGUGAGGUUAAUAACCUCAUCGAUUGACGUUACCCGCAGAAGAAGCACCGGCUAACUCCGUGCCAGCCGCCGCCGUAACAC
rnacentral:rRNA from 1 species